UCUGACUCUUCUCAGAGUGAACACUUGUACUAUGAAUCUUCUUUCAUUUAUUCUGUUCUGUGCCUCAACCGCUUCUGUCUUUGGGAAUGUCAUUAAACCAAACAAAACAGAGGUUUUUGUUGAGGAGGGUUCAAGUGUUACAUUGUCUUGUAGUUAUUCUGCAUCUGGAGGUACAGAUUAUCUUCACUGGUAUCGUCAGUAUGGAAGAUCAAAACCUGAAUUUCUUGUACUCACCUACAGUAGUGCAAAAGGAGCUAAAGAGUCUGAUAUCGAUCCAAGAUUCACUGUUAACAUUACAGAAAGGGAACGUGUGGAUCUGAAGAUCUCCUCUGCUGCUGUAUCAGACUCUGCUCUGUACUACUGUGCUCUGCAGCCCACAGUGACAGGAAACACAUCAACUCUCUACAAAAACCUGUUACAAUGAGAGACAGCAGAGAAACAGAGACAGAGAGAAAAAUUGUCACAAAGAAGCUAGUAUACAAAUAUUUAAAUAAUCUAAUGCAAAAAGGAUCAAAACAUAAAGCAAAAAUCUACAUUCUAAAGUGAGUCAAAUUAUGUUUAAUUUGUUAAUUAGGGAGGUUGUGGCCUAGUGGUUAGAGAGU